rnacentral:lncRNA from 1 species
GUGGUUGUGUGUUUACAUUUUCAGAACAAUCCUUCACAGAGGCAAUGAAGCACCCAUUUUCCUUCAUGCGUCCUUGAGGCUUAACACAGAUGGGAUUUUUCAAAUGAAAACCAGAUGAAAGUAAACAGCAAUCUCACCAUCAAAACCUUAAGGAGCUUGUUUUUUUGAAAAAAGUUGCUUCGCAGAAUUGAUGGAUCAGAUCCCCAAGUGGGCAGACACUGGG